rnacentral:rRNA from 1 species
CCUUACGACCAGGGCUACACACGUGCUACAAUGGCGCAUACAAAGAGAAGCGACCUCGCGAGAGCAAGCGGACCUCAUAAAGUGCGUCGUAGUCCGGAUUGGAGUCUGCAACUCGACUCCAUGAAGUCGGAAUCGCUAGUAAUCGUGGAUCAGAAUGCCACGGUGAAUACGUUCCCGGGCCUUGUACACACCGCCCGUCACACCAUGGGAGUGGGUUGCAAAAGAAGUAGGUAGCUUAACCUUCGGGAGGGCGCUUACCACUUUGUGAUUCAUGACUGGGGUGAAGUCGUAACAAGGUAACCGUAGGGGAACCUGCGGUUGGAUCACCUCCUUA